AUACGUAGGGUGCGAGCGUUAAUCGGAAUUACUGGGCGUAAAGCGUGCGCAGGCGGUUUUGUAAGACAGUGGUGAAAUCCCCGGGCUCAACCUGGGAACUGCCAUUGUGACUGCAAGGCUGGAGUGCGGCAGAGGGGGAUGGAAUUCCGCGUGUAGCAGUGAAAUGCGUAGAUAUGCGGAGGAACACCGAUGGCGAAGGCAAUCCCCUGGGCCUGCACUGACGCUCAUGCACGAAAGCGUGGGGAGCAAACAGGAUUAGAUACCCUGGUAGUCCACGCCCUAAACGAUGUCAACUGGUUGUUGGGAAUUUAUUUUCUCAGUAACGAAGCUAACGCGUGAAGUUGACCGCCUGGGGGGUACGGCCGCAAGGUUAAAACUCAAAUGAAUUGACGGGG
rnacentral:rRNA from 1 species